rnacentral:tRNA from 1 species
UUGCCUUGUGGUUAAGGCGUUGGGCUAGUAACCCAAGGGUCGGAGGUUCGA